AUGCAUGCGCAGUCGUACGUGGUGUACCUGGGAGCGCACCCUUAUGGCCGCGAGGCCACGACGGAGGACCACGCGCGCGCCACCGAGUCGCACCACGAGCUCCUCGCUUCCGUCGUCGGGAGCAAGCAGGCGGCGAGGGACGCCAUCUUCUACUCCUACACCAAGAACAUCAAUGGCUUCGCCGCCUAUCUCGAGGAGGAGGUGGCCACCCAGAUGGCAAAGCACCCGGAUGUGCUGACGGUGAUGCCGAGCAAGAUGAUGAAGCUGCACACGACCAGGUCCUGGGGCUUCAUGGACAUGGAGAGGGGCGGCCAGGUGCUCCCGGACUCCAUCUGGAAGCACGGCAAGUUCGGCCAGAACGUCAUCAUCGCCAGCCUCGACAGCGGCGUCUGGCCGGAAUCCAACAGCUUCAACGACGAGGGCAUGGCCCCGGUGCCCAAGCGCUGGAAGGGCUCCUGCACCGACACCGCCAAGUACGGGGUGCCCUGCAACAAGAAGCUCAUCGGCGCCAAGUACUUCAACAAGGACAUGCUGCUGUCGCACCCGGCGGUGGUGGACCGCAACUGGACGCGCGACACCGAGGGCCACGGCACGCACACGCUCUCCACCGCCGCCGGCCGCUUCGUGCCGCGCGCCAGCCUCUUCGGCUACGCCAACGGCACCGCCAAGGGCGGCGCCCCGCGCGCCCGCGUCGCCGUCUACAAGGUCUGCUGGACCGGGGAGUGCGCCACCGCCGACGUCAUCGCCGGCUUCGAGGCCGCCGUCCACGACGGCGCCGACGUCAUCACCGUCUCCUUCGGCGUCGACGCGCCCCUCGCCGAUGCCAGCUCCUACUUCCACGAGGCCGUCACCCUCGGCUCCCUCCACGCCACCAUCCACGGCGUCGCCGUCGUCUGCUCCGGGGGGAACGCCGGGCCCUUCGAGGACACCGUCGUCAACUCCGCGCCAUGGGUCACCACCGUCGCCGCCAGCACCGUCGACAGGGACUUUCCCGACCAGCUCACCCUCGGCAACAACGCCACGAUGAGGGGGAUAAGCCUUGAGGCAUCCGACCUUCACUCCAACAAGCUCUUCCCGCUCAUCAACGGAAGCAGCGCCGCGCUCCCCAACUGCACCGUCAACCUUGCCACAAACUGCGCCACGGGCUGCCUUGACCCGGCCAAGGUCAAGGGCAAGAUCGUCGUGUGCGUCCGCGGUGGGGAUGUCCCGCGGGUCAUGAUGGGGAUGACCGUCCUCAACGCCGGCGGCGUCGGGAUGAUCCUUGCCAAUGGCGAGAUGGAUGGCAACGACAUCCAAGCCGACCCGCACGUGCUCCCGGCCACAAUGAUCACCUACACCGAGGCCGUCUCGCUCUACAACUACAUGUCGUCCACCCCGGAGCCGGCGGCCAACAUCUCGCCGUCCAAAACGGAGCUCGGCGUCAAGAACUCGCCAUCCAUCGCCGCCUUCUCCGCUCACGGGCCCAGCGGCACGCUGCCCUACGUCCUCAAGCCGGACGUCGCCGCGCCGGGGGUGGACAUCCUCGCCGCCUUCACGGAGUACGUCAGCCCCACGGAGGUGGCCGCCGACAAGCGCCGCUCCGAGUAUGCCAUCAUGUCCGGCACGUCCAUGGCGUGCCCUCACGUCUCCGGUGUCAUGGGCCUCCUCAAGGCGGCGCACCCCAACUGGAGCCCCGCUAUGAUGCGAUCCGCGGUCAUGACCACCGCGCGCACCCAGGACAACACCGGCGCGCCUAUGCGCGAGAUGGACGGCAAGGAGGCCACCCCGUUCGCCUACGGCUCCGGCAACGUGCACCCGAACCGCGCCGUUGACCCGGGCCUCGUCUACGACAUCACCCCCAACGGCUACUUCACCUUCCUCUGCUCCCUCGGCUUCUCCACCAAGGACCUGAGCAGGCUCAGCUCCGGCAAGUUUACAUGCCCGGCCAAGCCGCCCCCGAUGGAGGACCUCAACUACCCAUCCAUUGCGGUGCCGGCGCUGCGCCACAGGAUGACGAUCAAGAGGCGGCUCAAGAACGUGGGCCGGCCCGGGACGUACCGCGCAUCGUGGCGCGCGCCUUUCGGGGUCAACAUGACCGUUGACCCGACGGUGCUCAUAUUCGAGAAGGCCGGCGAGGAGAAGGAGUUCAAGGUGAAGGUGGCGUCGGAAAAGGACAAACUCGGGAGGGGCUACGUCUUUGGGAAGCUCGUCUGGUCUGAUGGGACCCACUAUGUGAGGAGCCCCAUCGUGGUAAAUGCCCUGGAUUGA
rnacentral:rRNA from 1 species